GAGUUGCCGCCUGCAUUUCCCACAUAUAAGCAGAACUAGUCUUUCUCACUUUUCUUUUUCUUUUAUUAUUAUUUUUUAAACAUUUCUUUAAAAGCUCUUACAGCAUAGGUCAGGCUAGUUUAGAACUCGGGAUUCUCUUGCCUCAGCCUCCCAAGUCUGGGGUCCUAGGAGUAUAUCACCAAACCAGACAGAGCUAAUCUUUAUGGCAAGAAAAACCUGUAGGCCGAAGCAGAGCACAGAGAGGAAGCCGGUUCUGACCGGCCAGUGGCGCUCAGAAUCCUAAUUCCAGCUCUUCUCCAGGCCUGCCGUUGACCGCGUUUUCUCAGCUUCCACAAACUUACGUUCUUUUCUGCCCAAGGGCUGAGAUCAAAGCAAUGCAAGUUGCAACUCUUUGUUUCACUGUGCUGGUGGAAGCUAUUCCAUCUCAUUUUUCUCCGGGUUUGAGACAGUCACUGCCUUGUGUCACCUUCCCUGCAUGAUCCCCAGCCCAGCAAAAGCCCAGUGGAGUUUGAGGGUGCAUCCUGCCCUCUACUCAGCCUCUGAAAAUAGAUCGGACUUCUACUUCAGGAUGACGUCCUGGUCUGGUGACAUUGAGAAGGACCCUGUUUUUAGACUCACCUUUUCAAACACUGAGCAUUGAGAUUGGCAAUGCAAUUUCUCUCCAAGUGUGCAACUGAUCCCGGAAGACUUGAGUCCAGGAUUUUCCUCAUCAGGGUGCUCUGGCCUGAAACAUCUGGACAGCCACUUACCACUUUCCUAUUUUUGCAGAACAUCCACAGACCAGAGGUUGGUCUUUUUCAGGAUUAUCCAUAGCCAAGGGCUUCACUCAUCUCUGGCUCCAUUUCUGGUCUCUACCCUCCCAUUUCCCACGGCUCCCCCCCCCCA